rnacentral:rRNA from 1 species
UACGUAGGGGGCGAGCGUUAUCCGGAUUCACUGGGUGUAAAGGGAGCGUAGACGGCCAUGCAAGCCAGGGGUGAAAGCCCGGGGCCCAACCCCGGGACUGCUCUUGGAACUGCGUGGCUGGAGUGCAGGAGGGGCAGGCGGAAUUCCUGGUGUAGCGGUGAAAUGCGUAGAUAUCAGGAGGAACACCGGUGGCGAAGGCGGCCUGCUGGACUGCAACUGACGUUGAGGCCCGAAAGCGUGGGGAGCAAACAGG